UUAAAAAAAGAAAAAAAAAGCAAAAGAGAAGAAGGAAACAGAGAAAGAGAUUUACGAGUUUACGCUCUGAUACGGAUACGGUCCCAUCCCUGUCUUUCUCUUUUCCUCAUUCUCUCUCUCUCUCUUUCUCUCUCUUCAAUCUCUUUCAGUUCCUCUUCGAUCCGCGAACUCGCUUAGCUUCGCUUCACAAUCUUUUCAACCUGUCGAAUCGCACAAUGGUACAACUGAAAAACCCUAACUCGCCGCCUUCUGACUCACUGCUACCCGCUCUCCGAUGAUCAUGGAACUCACAGAUUCCGGUUCCGCCGGCGACCGCACCACCGCUCCGCAGCCUCAAGACUCCCGCUCCUCCGGCCUUGAAAUCGACCUCAACGAGAUCCCUUACGCCGCAGCUUCACCUUCUUCCAACCACGCCGAAACCCUACCGCCGCCACCGGACUCCGCCGUCGACAUCGUCCGCGCCUAUCACGAGAACCCCGCGCCGCUACCAGGAGCUCCCGCCUCGCUACCCCGCGGCUCUGCUCCCUGUGCCACAUGCUCUAAGCCGCCUGGUGCCGCCGGUGUUGUCGUCUGCGACGGCUGUGAGCGCGUGUUCCACAUCGCAUGUGCUGGGUUUCGCGGGACCCGCCAGGCGGCGAUCCUUGAUGAGUGGCUCUGCAGUGAGUGUGUCGUCGGCGGAGUGAGGAGCAAGAGGUGGCCGCUCGGCGUCAAGUCCAAGCAGCUCCUGGAUAUCAAUGCCUCGCCGCCCAGUGAUGCUGACGGAGAAGGUGCUGGCGAGGAGUUACAGGAUUCGAGAAAGCACACUCUGGGUGAUAAUUCUUUUGGUGCCAAUCCAUUUGGUGCCCCAGUGACAUGUUCAAACUACUACAAUGGGAACACUUUUGGCUUCCAAAAGGCAUCGGGAGUUGUAACACAUGCUGUUAGAGUGGGUUUUGAGGAUAUACUGAAUCAUACCCAAUCAAUGACUAGAUGCUUUGAGGAGGCUCUUAGAGACUUCAUAUCUGAAAGGCGUGGUGUGCUAGAGGAAGGUUGGCGAGUGGAAUUUAGGCAAUCCAUGAACAGUUCUGAACUGUAUGCAGUUUACUGUGCUCCUGAUGGGAAAAUUUUUGAUUCUGUGUAUGAAGUAGCUUGUUAUUUGGGGCUAACAUCUGGCUACAACUCUAUGGAAUCCGAAGUUAGAAAUGAUAGGUCUCUUGCUUCAUUAGGUGGAACUCAUCUAUCCAGAAAAAGAAAGUCAACAAGGAAUCUAUCCAAUGGUUUUGCAGAAAAAUUAGGAACCUUGAUCAAUAGUUACUGUAGGGAUUCUCCAUCAGAUGCUUUAACUGUGGAAUGUACUGGUGAUCAUGGGCAUGUCCACAAAGCCUCAGAAAUUGCAAGAAAAGAGGAUUGUCAUUCAGGUUGUCUGCAAUCUGCCGAUAGACUUCCUCUACGGUUCGGCGAUUUUUUUGUUCUUUCUUUGGGAAAAGUUGAUGAUAGACCUACAUAUUUUGAUGUUCACCUUGUCUGUCCCAUAGGUUAUAAAUCUUGUUGGCAUGAUAAGAUUACUGGUUCUCUUUUUACAUGUGAAGUUUUAGAGGGUGGUGAUUCUGGACCUAUAUUUAGGAUAAAAAGGUGCUCUUGUUCUGAGUUUCCUGUUCCAGUUGGGUCAACUGUCCUAUCAAUGUCAAAUCUCUGUCAGUUUUUGAAUAAAAAUAAUGGUGAGAGAAAGACUGAUGAUAGCAUGGAUUACGAUGUUCAUGAAAGUAUCCAGAUGAUUCUUUCAGAUCCUUGUGUGCCAACGGAAAAUGAUGUCAUUAAUUGUAUUGCAAGUUUCUCAAAUGAAACAUGUGCUGGAGAUUCAAUAUCCCAAGACUCAGGAUUGAUUGAUGGAAUUGGUGAAAUUUUGGUGGAAGAGAGGUCAUCAUCUGCGGCUUGGAGAGUUAUUUCUCAGAAGGUAGUAAAUGCUUGCAAUGAUAUCUGCAAGCAGAAAGGAAGCCUUAAGUUCUAUUGUAAACAUAUUGAAGAUGAACCGUGCUUACACAAAUGGGACACAAAUAGUAAAAAAAGUGAUGCACACUUUUCUUUGUUGGAUAAAUUUUGUGGUUCACUAUGUUCAGUUAGCGUUCCGGAUGUAACUUAUGCAGACAAUGAUCUAAAAGGUCUCUCUGAGGUUUUAGGAAACUGGCUGGAGCAAGAUAGAUUUGGAUUAGAUGUAGAAUUUGUGCAAGAAGUAUUGGAACAGCUUCCGGGUGUUAAAGAGUCUCUGAAGUAUGAACUUCUAAGCAGUCGGAGUAAUAGCUCAUCAUUGCCAACAGUUGAGAAUGGUUUCCUAGUGGUUGAAUGGAGAGGUGGAUCACAAUAUCAGGAUGAAAAUGAAGCAGUUCAAGGUUCGUACAAGAAGCCCAGAAAAGUGGGACUGACUGAAAGAAGUGUCAGGGAAGAUCGUUAUCCACCUCCUGGGAAGUCGUUAUGUUCUAGAGUUCCUAGUGAACUUAUUGGUGACAUUCUUCAGGUUUGGGAGCUUUUAGACCGAUUUGAUGAAAUUCUGGACUUGAAAGAGCCGUUGUCGCUAGAUGAGCUAGAGAAGGAACUUAUCAACCCAUGGUUUGAUGAAUUGGAUUUGAAUGAGAAAUCUGAGAGGGACAUUGAUGCCGGUCAGGUUUUGAGUUCGCAAGGCACUGAUGAUGAUUGUAGACCAACUCUGUCCCCAAGUUGUGACGCUGGCCCAUCAAGAUACAAAGAAAGUUCUCAUGCCUUUAUUCAAAUGGAAACAGAAGCAAUGAAAGAGGCAGCCCAAGUUAAGCUUGCAUCUUUAACUUACGCUCGAUGCUUUGGUGUAGCCUUGACAAAGGCCCAUAAUUCAUUGCUAAGAGUGCUAGUUGGUGAACUGCAAUCAAAGGUGGCUGCCCUGGUGGAUCCAAAUUUCGAACCUGGAGAGCCUAAAACAAGACGUGGAAGAAGGAAAGAUAUAGACAGUGCUAUUCCUGCCAAACGUACAAAGCUCAAUAUGCUUCCUAUUAAUGAAUUAACAUGGCCAGAAUUAGCUCGUCGAUAUAUCUUGGCUGUCUUAUCAAUGGAUGGGAACCUUGACUCAGCAGAAAUUACUGCUCGUGAAAGUGGUAAAGUGUUUCGUUGUUUACGAGGUGAUGGUGGCUUGCUUUGUGGUUCCCUUUCUGGUGUGGCUGGGAUGGAAGCAGAUGCACUGUUGCUUGCUGAGGCUACAAAGAAAAUAUUUGGUUCUUUGAGCAAAGAGAAUGAUGUGCUAACCAUGGAAGAUGAUGAGUCCGAUGCAAAUGAUCCUUCUGAAAAAAAAUUGGGGAGUGAUGGUAUUCUUCCUGAAUGGGCACAGAAGCUAGAACCUGUCAGAAAGUUGCCAACAAAUGUCGGAACCCGAAUCAGAAAGUGCGUCUAUGAUGCUCUGGAAAUGAAUCCUCCGGAGUGGGCGAGAGAAAUACUUGAGCGUUCCAUUAGCAAGGAAGUAUACAAGGGCAAUGCAUCUGGACCAACGAAGAAAGCAGUUCUUCAACUGUUAAGUGAUCUGUUUCGUGGAGGAGUGCAGCAGAACCCUAAUGAAGGAAGGAAGAAAAAGAUUGUUUUGUCAAUUUCUGACAUUAUCAUGAAACAAUGCCGCAUUGUAUUACGCCGUGCUGCGGCUGCUGAUGAUUCAAAGGUUUUCUGCAAUUUGCUGGGUAGAAAGUUAAUCAAUUCUUCUGAUAAUGAUGAUGAGGGGCUUCUUGGAUCUCCAGCUAUGGUGGCCCGUCCUCUUGACUUCCGCACUAUCGACCUAAGGUUGGCUGCUGGAGCUUAUGGGGGAUCUCAUGAAGCUUUUCUUGAGGAUGUUCAUGAGCUUUGGAACAAUGUUCGUGUUGCUUUUGGGGAUCAACCUGAUUUAGUUGAACUGGCUGAAAAAUUAUCCCAGAAUUUCAAAUCAUUGUAUGAUGAGGAGGUUGUCACCUAUUUUGAAAAAUUUGUGGAGUAUUCGAAGGUGGGAUGCUUGAAUGCAGAAAUGAGAAAAGAAGUUGAAGAUUUUAUUGCAUCAACAAGUGAGAUUCCUAAAGCUCCUUGGGAUGAGGGAGUCUGUAAAGUAUGUGGGAUUGAUAGGGAUGAUGAUAGUGUCUUACUAUGUGAUACUUGUGAUGCUGAGUAUCAUACAUAUUGUCUGAAUCCUCCACUUGCAAGGAUCCCUGAAGGAAACUGGUACUGCCCUUCUUGUGUCAAUGGUAAGCAUGCCACUCAAGAUGUUACAAAUCAUGCACAGAUUAUUGGCAAGCGUCAAAGUAAGAAGUUCCAGGGAGAAGUUCAUUCUCUUUACUUGGAUGUGCUAACUCAUUUAUCUGCUGUAAUGGAAGAAAAAGAAUACUGGGAGUACAGUGUGGGCGAGAGAACUUCCCUUCUUAAGUUUUUGUGCGAUGAGUUGCUUAACUCUUCCCUGAUACGGCAGCACCUUGAGCAAUGUGCAGAUUUAUCUGCUGAGUUACAUCAGAAAUUGCGUUCUCUCUCCACAGAAUGGAAAAACCUGAAAACUAAAGAAGAUAUCUUAUCCUCAAAGGCUGCAAAAGUUGUUACAUGCAUGCCAAAUACCACUGGAGAAGUUGGUUUCAAGGAAGGGGUCACAGCUGCACUCUCAAGUACGGGUAAAUGUCUGGUGCAGCCACAUAAUGUAAUUGACAAUCCUAAUAAUUUUGGGGUAUCUGUUGAUAGUUUGCAGUCAGAAGAGGUUACUAACGAGAAGCAUAGGCUCAAUGGUGUUGACAAAAGUGUAUCUGUGAUAAAUUCAGAUUCUGAAAACAAACACUUGAACUCCAUAGAUGUAGAAGGACAACUUAGGAAUGUCUCUGCGGCUGUGGCAUCCCAGUGUAUGGAUAAAUCCACAAAAUCUUUUCCAUCACCAAGUCAUAUGCCUCAUGAACAAAAUGGUACUAGUGGAGCAGCUCAUAUCCAGGGUAAUCACCAGAAAUGUGACGUGAAUGACAUAUCUACUGUUGAUGAGUCAGAACCGUAUCGCCUUGAGAUCAAUGCCAUCAAGAGUGAUAUUUCACGAUUAGAAGACUCCAUAGCUGAUGUCGGAUCAAAGCUUCUGAAACUUUCCAUUCGUCGGGAAUUUUUGGGAAUUGACUCCAUUGGUCGCCUGUAUUAUGCGUCAGCUGUAGGCAGAGGUCGUUUAGUCGUUGAUGCAAGUGCUGCAGUUCUGUAUGGAAGACAAAUGGCAGUUGGCAGAGAUUCUGUUGACAAGUUUUCUUCCCUGCAGCAUAAUGUAUUAUCCGACAAGGAUAACUAUAAGAUCAUAGGGUUGCAGAAGGACUCCUCUUGUUUAAUGUCUCCACCAAGUGAUGGUUCAGGCAUUAGUUCUUCAUGGGUUGCUUAUGAAACUGAUGCAGAAAUAGAAGAGCUUUUAAGUUGGCUGAAGGACAAUGACCCUAAAGAAAAAGAACUGAAAGAUUCUAUUAUGAUGUGGCCAAAAUCAAGAGCUCAAGAGUUUCAUAAUUCACCGAAUGAAGGUCAGGUUGAGGAACAAGGGAAUUUUCCUAUACUAAGAAAUAAGGAGAAAACAGCAUCCAAUUCUCUGGUUACAAAGGCGACAUCUUUGCUGGAAAAGAAUUAUGGUCCAUUCUUUGAGUGGGAUGGCACUGAAGUGUUGAAGAAGCGAAGUAAAAAUGCCAGAGUAAAUAAUGAUGAAAAGUUGUAUAGGUGUGAAUGCCUAGAACCAAUAUGGCCAUCUAGGAAGCACUGCAUGUCUUGCCACAAAACUGUUUCAAGUGAUGGUGAGCUGGUUGAACACAUUGAUGGGAAAUGCAAUGCAGGUCUUCCAGCCUUGGAGAAGAAUAGGGAUGAUAAUUUAUCUUCUAAAGGAAGAGGGAACACAAAAUGUGAUUCCUCUCGGGAAAUAUUCAGAGGUGAUGCAGAUACAGCUGGAACUGCGGCUGCAACCAAUGUUUCUUCUAAGCUUAGCUCAAGAUUGAUUAAAUUUUCAAAUGAAGAAUCCUCUUGCCCAUUUAACUUCGAAGAUAUAUGUUCUAAGUUUGUGACAAAUGAUUCAUGCAAGGAAGUUGUCAGAGAAAUAGGUCUUAUUGGUUCAAAUGGGAUUCCAUCCUUUCUUCCUUCCAUAUCUCCCUUUGUUAGUGAUUCUACACUCAUGCUAUUCUCAGCUCAAAACAAUGAUCGUAUUGGUGGUGGAGAAUCACUAACAUCAGAAUGUCAGGUUUCUCAGGGAAGCACUGAUGGAGCUGGCAAAUGCCGUGAUAAAAAGUCUGGAAUGUCUUUGGCUUCAAAUGAAAUUAGUAAAGCAGGGAUUUCCAAUAAAAUAUCUUUGGAACAAAGAGAUGGAAAUCUCUCUGAACGAAAUCCUGCUUUGGAUAUAGGGGUAGAUAGCUGCUGUGUGGUCCCAUUGUCUUCUUUGAGACCAUUAGUUGGCAGAUCUUCACAUAUUUUGAGGCAACUGAAGAUCAGUUUACUGGAUAUGGAUGCUGCUCUCCCAAAGGUUGCUUUGAGACCAUCAAAGGCACAGUCAGACAGAAGGCAGGCAUGGCGGGCAUUUGUUAAAUCUGCAGAGACAAUAUAUCAGAUGGUUCAGGCGACAAUUUCACUUGAGGAUAUGAUUAAGACAGAGUACUUAAGAAAUGACUGGUGGUAUUGGUCAUCAUUCUCUGCUGCUGUCAAAUCAUCUACUUUGCCUUCCCUUGCCCUUCGGAUAUAUUCUCUUGAUUCAGCUAUUAUAUAUGAGAAAAUGCCCAAUUCAAGUGGUGACAGCUCGGAACCUUCUGCAACGGCAGAACAGAAGCCACCGGCCAAUGCUGAUGCAGAUAAACUGAAAGCAAGCCGGAAGUCAAGUCGGAAAAGGAAGGAACCGGAUGGUUGAUCAUUACUGUAUUUCUUGGCUGAGAAAAGCAGAAAGCUGGUCAUUUUUAUAUGCCGUGUUAUUGAUCAUCCACUGAUAUCGAGUUUGGAUGAGAGAGCUCAUGGCAUGGGACUGACUUCAGGUUAUUGAAACGGUAGCCACAGUUGCUGGUGUCACUUGUAUCCUUGUACAUAUAGGUAAAGCUGACCUGCUAACCCAGAUGCCGGUUUUUGGCUAAGCAGAAUUUGUAGAUCUACCUGCUUGUGGUGAGGGCACCAGCAGGAGGUAAUUGAGGACGCGUCCAAUUUUGAAAUGUUUUCUGCUGCUGCUGCUGCUGCUGGCCCAAUUUGUUGCUUCAUAGCGAGAAGUGGCAUUUACCUUUUUCAUUUUUCUAGCAGAGUCUGAUCCAUAUAUGUAUACAUGGAAUUAUUGUAAAGAAGGAAUAGAUGAGAAGUUGAAAAAAAAAGGAUGGGAAAGAAGUCAGAAUAUGUUAAUUUGAGCAGUUGUAGGCAAAUAUUCAUUCUUUCAUAUUUUUCUCUCACCCCUCACUAAAGUCCUGCACACGCAUGCCCAUGAUUUUGUUCCUGGGCAUCUGCAGAUGUGUUAGAAUGCAGGGUAAUUAUUGGAAUCAAUGCAUUUUUCCGUCUGCUUAUUGUGCAUGCCUAGUGCGAGUUCUUUUGUUUUGUUUUACUUGCUGUAGUUCUAUCUUCAUCGUUAUGGGGCACCUCAUGUAGAGAUGUCAGUGUCCAACACCCCUGGCCCUAAGUCGGUUUGAGCUCUCAAUUCGUAAUGAUGUGCAGCUGGCAGGUCCGUUCACAUGAAGCAGUGGCUGCUUCUGCGUCUUCUCUGCCAAUCAUUUGGAUCUGUUAUCUGCCAUGCGCAGAUUGUCCUGGUUUGGGUGUCUUCCAUGGAUGCAAAUCUCUAAGCUUUGGGACAAAAAUAGAUCUGUUAUGUAGCAUGAAUCUCUGACAUGUUAGGAUCUGUAUGAGGGCUACUAAAUUAUUCAAGUUCUCUAGCACUGUGAUGUGCUGAUUUGCUGUCGCAAGUUUACAUGGAAUCAUGAAGUGCCUAUCAUCCAAUGCUUACAGUUGGUUAAUGCAUCCACUAAGGAUUUAUGUAAGUACAGUAUUUAAUUGUUAUUUAGUGGUAUCCUUUCUCACUAUUGUUAAUGACAUAAUUAUCCAUAUUUCUCAAAUCAAAACCAGGCAAAAGUAAUCGUAUCCUUGGACAGUAUGCGAAUUUGCUUGGAUUUGUUCAUUUGAGCAUCUGACAUGACAUCCUAGUAAAACGCCUCUUUAGUUACUACAAAUACGAAGCAAUGUAAUGGUAAACAAUUAAUACUACACGGGAAAUACAUAUAACUAUGGUUUAUUAGCUAUACGUUUUCACUUCAAAACAUACUUGAGCAUGGAAUUACAACAUAAGACUCCACUGACCAUAUUACCUGGACUCUAUUUAUUUAUUUAUUAUAAACGCACUCCCCUUCAAAGGGUAAUAUAUAUAAGCCACCCAACCCAAACGUUUACUUUUUCUUUGUCGACCACAUGAUCCAUCAUCAUCUACUUUAAUUAUACAAUACUUUUUAAAACUUUUCCAUUAAGCAACUACUUAGAAAAGCACUGCUGCAUUAUUCAACAUAAUAUUACCCCACCAACGCAAUACCUCCCCUUCUUCUU